rnacentral:misc_RNA from 1 species
GAGAGAGAGAGAGAGAGAGAUUGACCCAAAUGAAAUUAAGAAUGAAGAACAGCAGAACCAAGUCACGCACCCCCUGCCCCCCAUGAUGAUACUUCGGUUCCUUCUAUUCUUAUUUUUUAUUUCUCUCAUUUUUAUUUGGAUAAAUUACUAUCAGCUCCUUAUAAUUUAUUAAAAUUAAUUAUUUAAACUUCAUAUUUUAAAAUUUUAAUUAAAACAUCCUUAUCUUUAUAAAAUUAAAAAUUUUUUAAUUAUUUUAUUAAAACAAAUUUACACAAUCCAUUUAUUUAUUUGAAGGGUGAAACGUGUCAUGUCGUGUCAUAUAAUAUGUAUAAUGAUCCAUUUAUUUAAAUAAGUUUACAUAUCUUGUAACCUGUAUCAUAAACAUAUCCAUAUAAGGGUUGAGCAUUUUGAUAUAAUUAAUUAAAUGAGUCAUGUUUGAGAUAGAUAUAUUUAUGUUAUAAGUAUAUGUUGACAUGACAUUUUUAUGCUUUGUGAACACGAAUUGCCAGCCAGCUUUAUGUGCUAGUAGUUAGUUUACCACUUAAUAUAUGGGUUGAUACUCAAUACAUUCCACCACAAUUUUGAACAAUUAAGCAGCAUUACGCCAGAAAUAUUAUUGAAAAAUGAAACAAAA